rnacentral:rRNA from 1 species
AACGAACGCUGGCGGCAUGCCUAACACAUGCAAGUCGAACGAGACCUUCGGGUCUAGUGGCGCACGGGUGCGUCACGCGUGGGAACCUGCCCUUAGGUUCGGAAUAACUCCCCGAAAGGGGUGCUAAUACCGGAUAAUGUCUUCGGACAAAAGAUUUAUCGUCUUUGGAUGGGCCCGCGUUGGAUUAGCUUGUUGGUAGGGUAAAAGCCUACCAAGGCGACGCUCCAUAGCUGGUCAGAGAGGAUGAUCAGCCACACUGGGGCUGGGACACGGCCCGGAAUCCUACGGGAGGGAGCAGUGGGGGAUACAGGACAAUGGGGGAAGGCCUGAAGCAGCAAGGCCGCGUGAGUGAUGAAGGCCGGAGGGAUGUAAAGCUCUUUUACCCGGGAUGAUAAUGACGGUACCGAGAGAAUAAGCACCGGCUAACUCCGUG